rnacentral:rRNA from 1 species
ACAGGGUCUUCGGACGCUGACGAGUGGCGAACGGGUGAGUAAUACAUCGGAACGUGCCCAGUCGUGGGGGAUAACUACUCGAAAGAGUAGCUAAUACCGCAUACGAUCUGAGGAUGAAAGCGGGGGACCUUCGGGCCUCGCGCGAUUGGAGCGGCCGAUGGCAGAUUAGGUAGUUGGUGGGAUAAAAGCUUACCAAGCCGACGAUCUGUAGCUGGUCUGAGAGGACGACCAGCCACACUGGGACUGAGACACGGCCCAGACUCCUACGGGAGGCAGCAGUGGGGAAUUUUGGACAAUGGGCGAAAGCCUGAUCCAGCAAUGCCGCGUGCAGGAUGAAGGCCUUCGGGUUGUAAACUGCUUUUGUACGGAACGAAAAAGCUUCUCCUAAUACGAGAGGCCCAUGACGGUACCGUAAGAAUAAGCACCGGCUAACUACGUGCCAGCAGCCGCGGUAAU